UGUGUGCAGGGCUGUACUCUGAGGCGGC
rnacentral:piRNA from 1 species